rnacentral:rRNA from 1 species
AUUGAACGCUGGCGGCAUGCUUUACACAUGCAAGUCGAACGGUAACAGGUUAAGCUGACGAGUGGCGAACGGGUGAGUAAUGCAUCGGAACGUGCCCGGUCGUGGGGGAUAACGCAGCGAAAGCUGCGCUAAUACCGCAUACGAUCUGAGGAUGAAAGCGGGGGACCGUAAGGCCUCGCGCGAUCGGAGCGGCCGAUGUCAGAUUAGGUAGGUGGUGGGGUAAAGGCUCACCAAGCCAACGAGCUGUAGCUGGUCAGAGAGGACGACCAGCCACACUGGGACUGAGACACGGACCAGACUCCUACGGGAGGCAGCAGUGGGGAAUUUUGGACAAUGGGCGAAAGCCUGAUCCAGCAAUGCCGCGUGCAGGAAGAAGGCCUUCGGGUUGUAAACUGCUUUUGUACGGAGCGAAAAGGUCUCCUCUAAUACAGGGGGCUCAUGACGGUACCGUAAGAAUAAGCACCGGCUAACUACGUGCCAGCCGCCGCAGUAA